AGUCACGACAUUAGAUACCCCUGUAGUCCUAGCCGUAAACGAUACUCGCUAGGUGUCGGCCACGGUGCGACCGUUGUCGGUGCCGUAGGGAAGCCGUGAAGCGAGCCACCUGGGAAGUACGGCCGCAAGGCUGAAACUUAAAGGAAUUGGCGGGGGAGCACCACAACGGGUGGAGCUUGCGGUUUAAUUGGAUUCAACGCCGGAAAUCUUACCGGGACCGACAGCAACAUGAAGGCCAGGCUGAAGACUUUGCCGGAUUAGCUG
rnacentral:rRNA from 1 species